rnacentral:rRNA from 1 species
AACGAACGCUGGCGGCGCGCCUAAUACAUGCAAGUCGAACGAGAAGGUGUAGCAAUACACUUGUACAGUGGCGAACGGGUGAGGAAUGCAUGGGCAACCUACCCUCGAGUGGGGAAUAACCAGCCGAAAGGUUGGCUAAUACCGCGUACGCUUCCGGGUCUCCGGAUCCGGAAGGAAAGUCACACCGUGGGUGUGACGCUCAAGGAUGGGCUCAUGUCCUAUCAGCUUGNGGUGAGGUAACGGCUCACCAAGGCAACGACGGGUAGCUGGUCUGAGAGGACGAUCAGCCACACUGGCACUGCGACACGGGCCAGACUCCUACGGGAGGCAGCAGUAAGGAAUAUUGCGCAAUGGGCGAAAGCCUGACGCAGCGACGCCGCGUGGGGGAUGAAGGUCUUCGGAUUGUAAACCCCUUUUAGGAGGGAAAUAGGACGAGCAAUCGUCCGGAUGGUACCUCC